rnacentral:rRNA from 1 species
GACGAAGGAUGCAAGCGUUAUCCGGAUUCAUUGGGUUUAAAGGGAGCGUAGGCGGUCUUGUAAGUCAGUGGUGAAAUCUCGCAGCUUAACUGCGAAACUGCCAUUGAUACUGCUUGACUAGAGUACAGAUGCUGUGGGCGGAAUAUGACAUGUAGUGGUGAAAUACAUAGAGAUGUUAUAGAACACCGAUUGCGAAGGCAGCUCACAAAACUGUAACUGACGCUGAGGCUCGAAAGUGUGGGGAUCAAACAGG